GCCAAAUAAAGAACAAAGAAGAACAAAAGGAGAAAAGAAAAACAAAAACCCUAAGUGUAGAAUUUCAAGAGACAAGUGUGGGAAAUUCAAGGAAACAAGUGACAAAAGGUAAAAUUUCUUGAUUUUGACUUGUGAUCUACCUUUCCCAUGCAUUUUUCCUUAUUUUUCAUGGUUAAAUUUUAUGUUUUCAUGGUGAAUUCAUGGCUGGUCAAAAUGGUAUGGAGAGAGAAAGAUGUUGGAUUGAUUUGAUUUUAAGUUAUGUUAGUGUUUUUAGUUAGUUUAGCAUAUUUAGAAACAAAACAACAAGAAAAGAAUUCAUUUUCCCCCAUCACCAUCAUUGGCCGAAUUUUCUAGGGAGCAUAUUGUGGUUGAAAUUGAUGAUAUUUCAUGAUAUUUGGGUGAUAAUUGAUGUUUGGUGAGGCUAGAAAUUAAAUGGGAAAUUUUGGUGUGAAAAUCUGAAUUUUUGCUCAACGUAUAGACAUGUGUGAUUAUUGACCCGAGAUUGAUAAAUUGAUUUGGAUAAUUUACGUAUAAUUGGAGUGUAGAAAGUGAGAAGAAUUGAUUUGGAGUUAAAUUGAAGAUUUUAGCCAAUUAAAUCGAGAAUAGUGCGAAUUAGGUCGAAUAUCGUAUUUAAACGGCUAUUCGGACAUUUUGCAUCACAUUUUGUGCAUUCAUAUAGAUUUAUAGAGCCUGAAAUAGUUUAUGAUAAAUUGACAUAAUUUAUUGAAAUUCGUGUCACGUAUGAUGUAUAGGUGGUGAGCCUUCUAACAAGAGUAAAGAGAUUGUGCCCGAAGAUCGGGAAUAGGAGUAUAUCGAACUCCUAGUACUGUGAGUAACCUUAUCAUCAUUUUAAUUAUCUAAAGUAUGAUUUUAAUCGGUUUUGGUGGAAUUUUAUGAAAAUGAGUUUAAAUGGUUAAUUUUUGGUUUUACAAAUAAAAUAUGUUUAAAUAAAAUGAUUUUAUAAAUUGUCUUGAAACAAAAUAACGAUUUUGAAAAAUAGAAUAUUUGGAGACCACUGGUUUGUUGUAGAAUUAUGAUUGUUUACAUUGAUUAGCUUAUGAUAAAUUGAGCAUGAUUGGCUGGUUGACAAUUGUAUUGAAAUACGGAUUUAGUUGUUUGCCUUGAAAGGCUGUGAAUUACAAUAAUUGUCAUAUCAUGUUAUUGAGUUUUAUUGAUUGGUGGGAUAAUUAUUAGCUUAUUGCAGUAGGCGAGUUUCCGUGGACUAGCCUAUUAAAGGGGCACGGUAAACCCUGUUAUAUUUUACCUCGGUUGGAGAGGCGAGUAGGGUAACUCUCGAGGUGUAACUUUUAGAGUUCACUUCACGCCAAACCACCAUGUGAGGGGGAACUCGGCCAACGCCAAUGAACGGCUAUAUUUUCAAAGUAAAAACAUGAUUUAUGUGUUCAUAACUUUUUAACAGCCUUGGCGGACUCAGUUGAGAUAGCCUUCAAUCGAGGUAUCCCUGAUAACUGAGUAUGAUAAUGAUUUUGGCACGAGCCAAAGUUUUAAGAAGUUCAUAAGCCAUACUGAUUACUUGAUUUAAAUAAAUUGAUUUCAUUUCGUUGAAAUAAGUCGAAAGAUGAUAAAUUACAGUUUGAUGAAAUGUUUUAAUAGUCUCCUUUUACUCGCCUUUAGAUAUUUUAAAUGAUAUUUGUUUACUCAUUGAGAUUUUAUAAUCUCACCACCCUCAUUUCCACCAAUUUCAGGCUUGGAAUAGAUUGUAAAUAAUUGAUAUCGGCGAGGACUACAGUUGGACUUGUCACAUCCAAAAACUGUAGGUUCAUUUCUUUUGAUACUUUUAGUCAUUCGUGGGCCCACGUGUCACUGUAAUUUAAAUUUUAUACUUUGGUUAUCUGUAUUACAGUAUGUAGGAAUUUAUUUUACUUUUACGCUGUAAAAAUUAUUUAUGCAGUGCUCUUAAAAUAUUGUUUUAUGAGAAAAUUGAAUAUUUUAUUCAAUAUUUUUAUUUUAUACUAAUAGUCAUAAUUUCAUUUUAAACGAAUGUUUCAGACAUCCAAAUUUAUUUUUGAUUAUGAAAUAUGUGUUUUCCACUUACAUACUACAUUUUUAACUGAUUUUGAGAUUUUUGGGAAAAAUGACCAAAAUACCCCUAUGAGACGAAAAUUAUUAUUUUAUUUGUUUUAAGUUGAAAAUUGCUUAAAAUAUUUUAGAACGCGAUAUUCAGCAAUGAUUACUCACAGGGGAAAUAAGAAGAUGAUAUUAAAGCCUUACGGGGUUCUGGUUGACAUUCUGGGUAAUGAGUGUCAAUUGGGGCAUUGCGACGAUUGUCACGGGCUCGAGGAGAGUUUCAGGUCAUGACAAUUUUAGUGGUAUCAGAGUUUUUGGUUUUAAAGAUUAGAGCUUUUGGGUUUAAAAUUGUUUCAAAGUUGUUUUAAAAACUACAGUGUCAGUGUGGCCCAAGUUAAGUUAAGUUAAAUCAGGUUAGGUUGAGUAGAAUACAUGCAUCAGCAUAUAGAGCCUGAGGUAGCCUAAACUUUCUUGUUUCCUCUUAUAGAUCUUAUGGGAGCUAUAAGAACUCAUGUUCCCAGUAAUCCAUUUCCUUGUUAAUGUCAUGCAAAGGUCAUAAGUAGGACCGUUGUUUGGGUUUAAGAUGCCACCCAUGACACAAGCCAGUGUUGAAGAGAUCUUAAAACGAAUGCUCCUUAUGAAAGAUUAAUGAAAUGAUAUAUCCCUCCGAUUAUGGAUGGAGAAAUUUGGAGUUGGACUAAUAGGUCGUGAUAAUUUACUCAUUUGAUGGAGUUAUAAUUGAACUCAUGGUUGUCAAUUGGAAAAAGAUUUGGGGACUAUGGAUUGUAUUGGGGUUGAUAUAAAGGAGCAUGUGUGAUAAUGGUAAUAAGGGGCGUACUUUGGUUAGAAUGAAUAGUGAUAGUUGUAAUUCACUUGGAGUGUAUAAAUUAAGCAUUGAGGUAAGAGUAAACCUAUACUUAUGUGCAUGAAGAUAAGAACACUAUGUUAAUUGAGCUUGUUAUGCCCAUAUAAAAGUGGUGUUGAUUUCAAUUAAGAGAUUGUGAGAUUUCAAGAAUUGAUUGGACCUAUUAUAGUUCAUGGAUAUAAGCACGUGAAUUAACUCGAGAGUAAGUAUCAAUGAUUAUUACAAUUGAUGUGUGGUCAUGAAGUAAGAAGUUAGUAAACAAAUCUGCUCUAAGGAUGAGCUUGAACUUUGCUAUUCAUAGUAAGGAAGAGCCAAGAAAUUAAAGGACUAGAUGUGGAAUUGACAGCUUGAGGUUAAAUGACUUGGAAAUGUCGAAUCUAGUCUAAGUGCCAUAUGAAGUUCUAUAAUUGAGAUUGAUAUACGAAUUACUUGAAAGAUCAAUUUAAAAGUUUCUUCGAUUCAAAGUGUGGCCUAUGAUACGCAUGAUCAGUCUUGAAGGUGAUCUCCCUAAAGUAAGGAAUUUAGAAAAUGUUGAUGUUUGGAUAUACUCUAAGAGAGAGAGAACUUCUGUAUCCUAAGUUUAGGCCAACUUUGAUCUUAUGAUCGCAAAGGCAAGGUGUGAUAACUAAGUAAAUUAUUCAAUUAAUAAAUGUGAUUGGUUAUUGAUGAAUAAAGUCAAGAUCUUAAAAUUAGUGGCGUAUAAUUUGAUAAUUAUGUAUUUAAGAGUUAUUGGAGACAAUUCCUUCAUCAAAUUUGCACUGUAUGCUAUGAUAAAGGCAUAUCAAUGUUAAUAUGGAAAAGGUGAAAUUUGAAAUUUCAGUUGCAGCUACAAAAUUUGAAAGGAUAUAAGUGACGCUUAUAAUGGAUUUUUGAUUCUAUGAGGAUUGUGAAUAUAAGUGUAAAGAAAGAUGAAGGUAUGAGAUAUCGAUGAGGAAUAUCAAUGUUAAGUGAUGAAGUAUGAAUAACGAAUUACAAGUGUUAUAGGAUGAGAUGAAUUUGAAAAUAUUGACUUUACCUAAUUUAUGUGAUGAGCACAAGAAGAUAUAAAUGGUCAUGGAAAUUGUGACGUAAGCUUGGAGGGAAACCAAACGGUUGAGAAUGAUUAGUGUAGUAACCUUAAAUAUAGAUGAAUAACAUUGAUUAAGUAAACUCCAACAGCCACCAUGCCGGGGUGCUAAGAACACUUCAUGUCUAGGACGCAUGAAUAAAAUGAGACAGAUGUGAAGUUAAACUUACGAGUUUACCUAAAGUCAUUGAACUUGAUUCUAAGUUUUGUUAAUUGAAGUUUUAAGGUUUUGGAAGGUAUCGAUAUGAAUGAGUUAAAGCUGAAAUGGUUAAAGGCGUUCCCUUCGGGGGGAACAAAAAGGUCUGGGGUUCGAAACUUGGCUAGAAGGUCCUGUAGGGCUUGUCGUGUCGCCCUUAGGUGCAACGGAAACAAGUAAGUCAAGUGAUGGGGACCCAGACAUAAUAAUACCUUGGAGUGGGCCCCAAAGAGGAUGCCACAUAAAUGGCUAAGUUAUGGGUUAAGUGAUCACAUGUUGUGAGACAUAAGUUUAAGAUAUAUAUCCUCAAGGAAAUACUCAAGAGAAGUUCUGCCGUGGAUCUUGUAAAAGCAAGCACUAAGUUAUGUAAUUAUAAAAAGAAAGCUAUAAGCUGAGAGUGAUAUUAGUAUUAAUAUUGAAAAGUACUUGAGGAGAAUCUAGUUUUAAGUCUUGCAAUUUCAAGUACAAUUUGUAAAUUGGUUAAGGAAGAAUGAUGUUAUAUUCAUAUGAAAGAGUGGAACUUUAUUAAAGGAAGCGUAUGGAAAAGCAUAAGAGAAUAUAUUAGUUUGACUUACUAUAAGAGGUCAAAAGUUGGAUGGCCAUGAGUGGCUUGUAAGUAAACCAAGAAUGUAUAGGUAAGUGUGUAAGGGAGCUAUGAUCGAUAUAUAAGGGUAGAACUUUAAUGAUGAGAUGGUGUUCACUGCGUUAGACCUUGAACUAUAAAAUAUGGAUAUGUAUCCAUCUUAUGAAUACUCUGAUGUGAUAAAUUUGAAAGACUUUUCGCAAUGAGAAAACAUUAAAGCUUAAGGAGCAAAUGGCUAUACAGUCAAGUUAGACUUGUGACUGACAUGUCAUACAAGUAUGAGGAUGGGAUACAAGUAUAAGUAUACUUCGAAAUACUAGUUUGAGGCAAUGAUUAUCCUAUUGAUUUAUGGACCCGAUGAGGUUCUGGUCUUGAAAUAAUUGUAGACGCAAAGCACAAAUUGUGAAAUGUACUUCCCCACAAGUUUCAAUUUAUUUUUAAGUAAUUAUCAAGGCAAAGUAUUUGAUAAUGGUAGGCAAAGGUUGAAUUGUGUUUCGAAUGUUUAGAAAAUGAGGAUGAUACGGUUUGAUUAAAUGACACUAUUAUGUGUAAGGGAAUAGAAACACGCUACGGGGACUGUAAAGAUCUACUUAGAAAAGAAAUGAUGAUUCAAAAAUUCAAGUACUCAUGUACAAGUAAAGGUUUGGUGAUGAGAUAUGACAUAGGGUUGAAUUACUCCAAUAUGAACUUUGACUAUAAAAAUUUGAUUUAUAUAAUAGGUGUUGUUUGGGGAUGAUGCCAACUAGUGGUUAACUCUCAUAUGAGAAUGGAAUAUGUGCAAUCGACUUCAAGUAAUCGAAAGUGUGAAAAUUUGCCUUGAUUAGCAUAAGCCCAUGACUCAAAAUGAAUGAUUAUGGAUUUAAUCUUCUAAGGUAAAAAGGGCUGAAGGAAGUUGAUAUAAAAAAUAUCUUGAUAAAUGAUACUUUGAUUUUAAAGUGUACUUGAGGGGAGAUAAAUGUUUAUUUUCAUCUUCAGAUUGAUAAACUAAUGAGGCCAUGAGAUCUAGUGUUUGGAGAAAAAUUUGAGAAGUCACAAGUUAGAUAUGUUUGUGUGUGACGUAUAACUAACAAGUUGGUUAUGACCUAGGAAUUAUAAGGAUUGAUUAAGUCCAUAAGGAUACAUCCAAAAGUAGGUUCAUUUAUUUAAAUAUAUCGUGGUAAUAGAAGAGAUUUACUUAAUAAGUACUCGAUCCUGAAGGUACUAGAGUUUUCUUUUUGAGAAUAUGGUUACUAAUGGUUAUCAAAUUUGAAUUAUCUGUGAUGUUAAAUAUAUAUAUGGACAAAUAAAGAGUGUUUGAUCCUUCUGUAUUAUGAAAUGCUUGAAUAAGAAUUGUAGUGCACACCCCUUUAGGAGAAAAAUUGAUUUGGAAGCAGUUGUAAUAUGGAAAGAGUAUUCUGAAGUGGGAAUUAUUGAUUGUUGACAAGUGAUAAAGGUAGCGUAACGAUAAGAAAUCCCAUUAGAGGCUGAAUUGCGUGGAUAUAAGAGACUUUGGGAGAUAGUUAAGGAAAUGGUAUCAAGGAGAUGUAAUCUGUAGCGCGGUUAAGCCGUACGCGAUAGACUAAUAUGAUUAAGAAGAUUGAAGCUACAUAAAUGUGAGGUAAACAUAAAUAUGAGGAUACGUACAGAAAUGAAUAAGAGCAUCCCAAUGGUUAAAGUAUUGUGGAUGAAUACUCGAAUGGAAGAGAUGACAUGGGAAGUUGAACAUCAGAUAAGAAGACAACACCUUACCUUUUCUUUGAGUUCAGUAAAUGAAAAUUUGAGAUCAAAAUUUUAUUUUAAGGGGGAUAAUGCUGUAAAGCCUAACUCUAUAAAAUACUUGUCAUGACAUACAUGUGAUGGAUAGUAUGUUUGCAUGCUUGGAGAGUCCCAAAAAAUUUACAAAAGGCGGUAUUGUACCUAGAGGUAUAACAAAGUUGAUUUAAGCCUCGAACUAGAUCAAAUAGAGAUCUUAGGGUGAAAUUGAAAAUUUUAAAAUCCUAGAAUGACUUAGAAUGGUGAUUCGGAGUUCGAGCACCAUUUUGGAGUCAAAUUGGAAAUUUCACUAUCUAAAAGCAAAAUGGUAAUUUUGCCACUCGAGGACAAAAUAGAAAAUUGUUUGAAAGAUUUUGAUAAUAUAUGACUUAUUGGAGUAUGAUUUGAGGUUGAGAAGUGAAAAAUUGUAAUCUCGAUAUUUUUCAGAGCAUAGGGGUAAAAUGGUAAUUUUACCACCCCAAGGGCAAAACAGUAAUUUUUCACCACCAGGACACUUGUCCAGCAUAUGAAUUUUAUCCAAUAUUAUCAUGGAUAAUUGAAGGAAUUUAUAUGGUGGAGAGAGAAAGCUUAAUAGUUAAGAAAUAAAAAUGGACCAAUAAUGUGGUGACAUGUGUCAAGUUUAUAGCCAUUAUUUGUUUAGCUUUAAAAUAAGUAUAAAAUCAGCCUAUUUUCCUUCAUAUGGCCGGCCAAACAAAGAACAAAGAAGAACAAAAGGAGAAAAGAAAAACAAAAACCCUAGGUGAAGAAUUUCAAGAGAAAAGUGUGGGAAAUUCAAGGAAACAAGUGACAAAAGGUAAAAUUUCUUGAUUUUGACUUGUGAUCUACCUUUCCCAUGCAUUUCUCCUUAUUUUCCAUGGUUAAAUUUCAUGUUGUCAUGGUGAAUUCAUAGCUGGUCAAAAUGGGUAUGGAGAGAGAAAGAUGUUGGAUUGAUUUGAUUUUAAGUUAUGUUAGUGUUUUUAGUUAGUUUAGCAUAUUUAGAAACAAAACAACAAGAAAAAAAAUUCAUUUUCCCCCAUCACCAUCAUUGGCCGAAUUUUCUAGGGAGGAUAUUGUGGCUGAAAUUGAUGAUAUUUCAUGAUAUUUGGGUGAUAAUUGAUGUUUGGUGAGGCUAGAAAUUAAAUGGGAAAUUUUGGUGUGAAAAUUUGAAUUUUUCUCAACGUAUAGACAUGUGUGAUUAUUGACCCAGGACUGAUAAAUUGAAUCUCAUUCACAGUCACUGGGGUAAUUUAGGUAUAAUUGGAGUGUAGAAAGUGAGAAGAAUUAAUUUGGAGUUAAAUUGAAGAUUUUAGCUAAUUACAUCGAGAAUAGUGCGAAUUAGGUCGAAUACCGUAUUUAAACGGCUAUUCGGACAUUUUGCAUCACAUUUCGUGCAUUCAUAUAGAUUUAUAAAGCCUAAAAUAGUUUAUGAUAAAUUGACACAAGUUAUUGAAAUUCAUGUCACGUAUGAUGUAUAGGUGGUGAGCCUUCUAACAAGAGUAAAGAGAUUGUGCCCGAAGAUUGGGUAUAAGAGUAUAUCGAACUCUUAGUACUAUGAGUAACCUUAUCAUCAUUUUAAUUAUCUAAAGUAUGAUUUUAAUCGGUUUUGGUGGAAUUUUAUGAAAAUGAGUUUAAAUGGUUAAUUUUUGGUUUUACAAAUAAAAUAUGUUUAAAUAAAAUGAUUUUAUAAAUUGUCUUGAAACAAAAUAACAAUUUUGAAAAAUACAGUAAUUAGAGACCACUAGUAUGCUGUAGAUUUAUGAUUGUUUACAUUGAUUGGCUUAUGAUAAAUUGAGAAUGAUUGGCUGGUUGACAAUUGUAUUGAAAUACGGAUUUGGUUGUUUGCCUUGAAAGGCUGUGAAUUACAAUAAUUGCCAUAUCAUGUUAUUGAGUUUUAUUGAUUGGUGGGAUAAUUAUUAGCUUACUGCAGUAGGCGAGUUUUCGUGGACUAGCCUAUUAGAGGGGCACGGUAAACCCCGUUAUAUUUUACCUCGGUUGGAGAGGCGAGUAGGGUAACUUCUGAGGUAUAACUUUUAGAGUUCACUUCACGCCAAACCACCACGUGAGGGGGAACUCGGCCAACGCCAAGGAACGACUAUAUUUUCAAAGUAAAAACAUGAUUUAUGUGUUCAUAACUUUUUAACAGCCUUGGCGGACUCGGUUAGGAUAGCCCUCGAUUAAGGUAUCCCUGAUAAUUGAGUAUGAUAAUUAUUUUGGCACGAGCCAAAGUUUUAAGAAGUUCAUAAGUCACACUGAUUACUUGAUUUAAAUAAAUUGAUUUCAUUUCAUUGAAAUAAGUCGAAAGAUGAUAAAUUACAGUUUGAUGAAAUGUUUUAAUAGUCUCAUUUUACUCGCCUUUAGAUAUUUUAAAUGAUAUUUGUUUACUCACUGGGAUUUUAUAAUCUCACCACCCUCUUUUUCACCCAUUUCAGGCUUGGAAUAGAUUGUAGAUAAUUGAUAUCGACGAGGACUACAGUUGGACUUGUCACAUCCAAAAACUGUAGGUUCAUUUUUUUUUAUACUUUUAGUCAUUCGUGGGCCCACAUGUCACAGUAAUUUAAAUUUUAUACUUUGGUUAUCUGUAUUACAGUAUGUAAGAAUUUAUUUUACUUUUACGCUGUAAAAAUUAUUUAUGCAGUGUUCUUAAAAUAUUGUUUUAUGAGAAAAUUGAAUAUUUUAUUCAAUAUUUUUAUUUUAUACUAAUAGUCAUAAUUUAUUUUAAACGAAUGUUUUAGACAUCCAAAAUUAUUUUUGAUUAUGAAAUAUGUGUUUUCCACUUAUAUACUACAUUUUUAACUGAUUUUGAGAUUUUUGGGAAAAAUGAUCAAAAUACCCCUGUGAGACGAAAAUUAUUAUUUUAUUUGUUUUAAGUUGAAAAUUGCUUAAAAUCUUUUAGAACGCGAUAUUCGGCAACGGUUAUUCACAAGGAAAAUGAGAAGUUGAUAUUAAAGCCUUGCAGGGUUCCGGUUGACAUUUUGUGUAAUAAGUGUCAAUUGGGGCAUCGCGGUGAUUGUCAUGGGCUCGAGGGGAGUUCUGGGUCGUGACAGAGAUAUUGAUAUUUGUUGUCUAAAAACCUUUUGAAAAGGAUUUGGAAGAAAAAUACUUCUACUCCAGGUAUCCAUACUUGAAACUCAAAAAUAAAAGUAUUGAUACUUCUAUUCUAAGCAUCGAUACUUCUAUUCUACGCAUCGAUACUCUUCAUUAUUUACACAAAAAUAAAACGGAUAAAAUAGUUCUUUCUUUCUUAAAAUUACCUCUUUAGGGCUUUUCUAAAAGCCUCAACUCCUAUUCCACCUUCCUUUGCCAUUUUAAAUAAAUCUCAGUCUCUGACUUACUUACUCUCACUAAAAACCAUCAUUUUUUGAAAGAUUCAAGCUUGGUUUUGAUUUUCUGGAAAUACAAAGGUAAAAGUUUGAGCCUUCAAACUCUAGUUUUCAACCUUUGAUUUUAACUCUCUUAACUGAUUCAAGUUUCUCUCUUUAAGGGUUUAGUGCCCAACUUGGUUUUCUGUAACACCCAUGAUUUUUUGACAUGGCCUAUAUGUGAUGUUAGCCAAGUGACUUCAGGAGUUAUUUAAGUUUUGAUGAAUAUGAUUAUGUCUAGAGAUAAAUGGCUAUGAAUGUGGGGGGUAAAUUAAAAUCCUUAAUGAAAUUAUGUAAAUGUUUGGCACUUUAAUAUCUAAGUAUGCCAUUAAGGUAAAUAUCGAUCAAAAUGAUGAAUUAAUCCUAUAGAUUGAGGAUUUGAUUUAAUUUGAUGCAUGUUUGAGGAUAUAUGUAUGAAGAUUUUGAAUUAUAAAAGUUAUUUGAGGUAUAAGAUUAACAAGGAAUGGAUUUUGGGAGUUAAGUUGGAUUUUUGAACAUUUUGGAAGACUUAAAACUACCUACAGGGGAAAAUGUAUUGAUACAUCUCCUCAUCUACCGAUACAUUUUUGGCAGGAAGAACAAUAUGAAGUAUUCUAGAAGAAUUCUAUUGAUACAUUUGAGGUUGUAUCGAUAGAUUUGGCAAAGGAUGAACAUGUAUUGAUACAUUGCCUCAGUGUAUCGAUACUUUUAUUCAAAAUUAGGGCAGAGGUAUCAAUACAUUGCGAAAUGUAUCGAUACAUUAGAGAGAAAAGGUAAAAAUAAAAAAGGGUUUCGAGCCAUUUUGCCCCAUUUUUCUCUCUCAGCUCUUUCUCUCAUUCUCUCUUUACCUUUUUUGAACCCUAAGCCCCUAAAUGCCAUUUGGAGCCCAUUUAAGCUAGAUCCAAGCUUGGGAAAUGAUCCGAAUGUAAGAUUACACAUUUUUACUGAUUGAUUUUCAAUUUAAUCGGUUAAUAACCUCAGAUCUAAAUAUUUUCAGAUUUGGCCAAACUCUCUGCCCUUGAGUUUAUUGGAGAUUUGGAGACUAGAUUUGGGCAAUCUAUCUUCUAAGGUAAAGGUUUAGCUCAUAUGUUGGAAGAUUGAGCUUAUAGAUUAGAUUUG
rnacentral:lncRNA from 1 species